UACGUAGGGGGCGAGCGUUGUCCGGAGUUACUGGGCGUAAAGCGCUUGUAGGCGGUCCACCAAGUUUGGGGUGACAGUUGCCGACUUAAUCGGCAAAGUGCCUCAAAGACUGGCGGACUUGAGGGCCACAGAGGGAUAUGGAACUCCAGGUGUAGUGGUGAAAUGCGUAGAUAUCAGGAGGAACACCGGUGGCGAAGGCGGGUCUCUGGGCCGAUACUGACACUGAGGAGCGAAAGCGUGGGGAGCGAACAGG
rnacentral:rRNA from 1 species